rnacentral:tRNA from 1 species
GGGGUAUUAGCUCAGUUGGCUAGAGCGCGUCGCUGGCAGCGACGAGGUCAUCGGUUCAAGCCCGAUAUACUCCACCA